GACGAACGCUGGCGGCGUGCUUAACGCAUGCAAGUCGAACGGAAAGGCCCUGCUUUUGUGGGGUGCUCGAGUGGCGAACGGGUGAGUAACACGUGAGUAACCUGCCCUUGACUUUGGGAUAACUUCAGGAAACUGGGGCUAAUACCGGAUAGGAGCUCCUGCUGCAUGGUGGGGGUUGGAAAGUUUCGGCGGUUGGGGCUGGACUCGCGGCUUAUCAGCUUGUUGGUGGGGUAGUGGCUUACCAAGGCUUUGACGGGUAGCCGGCCUGAGAGGGUGACCGGCCACAUUGGGACUGAGAUACGGCCCAGACUCCUACGGGAGGCAGCAGUGGGGGAUAUUGCACAAUGGGCGGAAGCCUGAUGCAGCAACGCCGCGUGCGGGAUGACGGCCUUCGGGUUGUAAACCGCUUUCGCCUGUGACGAAGCGUGAGUGACGGUAAUGGGUAAAGAAGCACCGGCUAACUACGUG
rnacentral:rRNA from 1 species